CUAAGCAACCUGGGCAGCUGGCUAUGAGGAAGCAGGUUCCAGCCCUGUCUCUGCCAAAGAGUUUCUGGCUGCUCUCUUUAGUGUGUAGUUGCUAAACCUGUGCACCUGCCAUGGAGGAGGUCAAUGAGAAAUCCUGGCUCUUGUUUCAGUGCCCUAGGGACAUGGGAAUGCUUUUGGGGAGUUUUGUACUUGCAUCACUUGCAUCUGCGCUGUCCUUGGUAAAUGUGUUUGAGUUCCAAGAGGUUAGAGUCAGGAGUACUUGUGCUGCUUGGAAGGACAUUUCCUACAUGGAACAGUCAGUGAGCUUGGGCUUGAAGCCUGAGCUUUGAGUUAUCCACUCACAAGUCUAUCAGCGCUUGGGAAUUCUGACUGAAGUUAUGUCAAAGCGCUGUGUGUGUGGUGACACGCAUACUGACCUAUGUGUGCACAUGAGGAAGACCUCCAGAGCUGCGUCUGCUUCAGACGUGGCACUGAUGUCACCCCACGGAUGUUGCCUCGCUGUGGACAACGCAGUGGAUCAAAGUUGGUGUUAUUUCUUCUGUGGAGCACGGGGACCUCAAGGAUGGCUCUGGUGCAGCUGGCGCUCCCACGGCGGGCAACCACAGCCCGUGCCAGCCCUCUGCCCAACGUGCCUUCAUACCGCGGGGGUCAGAUUGGGCCGAGGCAGGUCCUAGGUGAGUGCUCCCACUGCUGAGCCUGCAGCUUGGUCACCAGCACCCUCCAGCCAGCCACAUAAACAUCACCCACCGGGCUCUGCUGCCCAUCCCCUGCUCCCCCAGCCAAGGGUCACGAGCUGCAGCCAGCAGUCGGCUGACAAACGCGGCCGUGGCUCUGUGCAGCCAGCCUGCGAGAGGUCGUCACACGCCUCCUUAAGCAAACAGGGAUCCACGCCAGUUGAUAAAUCAUUUACGAGGAGAAGUCAGAAGCAAGGAACUAGAUUAACCAGGUCACUGGGUGUCCUGAGGGAAUGACGUGUCAGUGGAGCUGAAACAGCAGAUCCCGCAGUUGCAAUAUGUUGCCUUCUUCUGUCCUGACAGCAAUUCAUGGAAAUCCCUGGAACUAGACACUAGUGAUGGAAAAAUCCAUUAGCUCAUCCAAGUCAGCUUGCUAGUUAAAGCAGUCACUCCCAUUGUGCAUUUUUUGGCAGAGUUAAAAUGUCUCAAGAGAGGGGAUUUCCACCAGUUCCUUCUCAAGGGGAAACUAUUCCACCUAUCGGGAAAGCUGCCUCCAGUGGUGCUAUUUUUGUAAAAGAGAAGUAACUCCAAGCCCGAAAGGGAAAACAGAAAGGUUCUGAUGCAGAAACACAGACAGCAGUAGUUAGCUUUCCCUAGCAGACAUGUGCCAUGCACAGCACAUCUGCAAUGGGAACACCAGGGGCCCACGUGUGUUUAUAUACAUCCACCUAGGUGUGUUUGUGUGUAUGCACAGCCUGCCUCUCCUUCUUCAGGCAGAUUAUGACCUUGUGCCUCCCUGGAUAAUCGACGUGUCGUAUCGUGAUCUCACAACCAGUUUACACUUAUGUAAUGCCACUGGCAUCAAGGCGAAAAAAACUGCUAAAUUGCUUUGAGGAGGGGACAGAUGCGUGAAAAAAGAAAGGCAUCAGCUGAUGCUGCUCCUCUGGCACACGCUUCCUGUCUGCAUGGGGACAUGGCAUGUCCCUUAGGGGCCUCAGUUCCCCAGCUGUGUGCCAGGCACAGCGACCACCCUCCUGGGGUCUUGUGGCUGAAUGCAACCACUGGCAGCACCCUGCCUGCAGCAGUUGGGAAGGUGCUGCAGCGCAGAGAUAUGUUGAUGAGGCUUGUCAGCAGAGGCUAUGGAGAUUUUGGCAAACAGGAUUUCAGCACCUGGGAAGCACUGUGGGACAGUGGAGAAAUAAAUGAGCUGUGUGAUUGUGAUGGCAUUUAAGGCCUUAUCAUUAGUUUCAGAGCAAGUUCUGCAUUCAGAUGAAUGGGUGUAGCACUCAUUGCUGAGCUAGAACCUGUAGAGAUAGGGAGGAUUGCUCUGUGCUCCCAUUCAGAAAGCUCUCAGCCAGCAGAGCUGUAACUUGCAGUCCUGGUGCCUCAGCUCAGGAGCAGGGCUCUGCAGCUAGGGUAGAUACAAUGGCUAUAUUAGCAGCAAACAAACCCCACAUUAUCAAGGGCCCUGAUUACCAGUGUGAUGGGGUGUUGGCUAUAUGCCUCUUAUGAGAAGAAGGCGGGGUACUGCCUGGGUGUUUGCCCUGGAUUCUCAAUUAGUUGUUUUAUGUACCUCUCAAAACCUCACUGCUGGCACUGCUGCCUUCUCCUUCUAGGAGACCUGACAUUCAGGCACCAUGUUUUGCACAGAUUUGUCAGCCACAUACCCAUCAGUUACGUUGAGGCUGCUCUUGUGAGCACCCUCUGCAUGUUAUUGCAGGGUGGCUCGUGAAUUCUAUGCCGUGCAACCCUGGCUUUGGGAUGGGUGUGCUGCUUUGCAGGGCUCUACUUUGUUUAGCACAAGCCACAUUGAAGCACAAAUGACAUCUGUGAGGACUGACAUGGUGUGGAAAGGGACCUAAUCAAAAAAGCACGGGUCAAAUCCUGGGCCUUGGCUGGGUCCCUUUAAUUGCUGUAAAGUCUGAGUGCCAGUUGACCUACUGAGCCCCUUGCCCCUUGCACCGUGCAGGGAUAAGAGCAGGUAAAGCCCGGUAACAGUUUAACUAUGAGAUUAACUCUGCCAGUGCCACUAUUGAGGGCCCUCUGUUUCUCCAGACAAAAGGUGCUGACUCCAGGCUCCCCAGCACGUUGGCCCAUGUUCUCCAUCUCCUUCACCCACACCCUGCAGUUCCAGCCUGACCCUCGGCGAAGGCAGGGAACCUCGGCUCUGUAGCCUUAGGUGCUACUGCCUGAAAGACGGCCAGAGAAAGAGCCAUCUUCCUCUCCAUUCCACUACAUCUACAAGGUCCCAGUGCUCUGCAGAACCACACACCAAGGUAGGAUGAGAUGCAGGGAGGCCUGUGAACAGUCCAGGUGCUCGGUUGUCUAUCCUUCAUGCUCCUAAGCACCACUGAAACCCUGGUUUCUCAUGCUUUGAAUUUCAUGGGUGUUUGGCUGUGCAGGACCAGGCUCCUGAACUGUCCCAAAGCCCACAGAUGACAAAGAGGUUCCUUCUUUGGGCUUCACUGUGGCAGUGAAUGGUUUUGCAGCUGGCUAGGCAAGAGGCAGCUAGGUGCAAGCUUAAUGAGGAUGACCUGCCUCAAAGGUUUCAUUUAGAAGAAGAAAGUACCAAGUGUUUUACUUAAAAAUGAACAGAUGUGUAGAGCGAAUUCUACCCUCCCCUCGGGUAUGGUGAAUCUGAUCACAGCGCAUCCUGCCCAGACCUGAGAACAGACAGACAGACAGACCUGUGUCACAAAGUGGAACAGACUGAUGUGAACUCACCCGCACCAAGCUGGGGACGAGUGAAACCAUGCUCGUGCAGACAGCAUGGAAAGCAAGCAGAGGUGAUAAGGAGCGGGGGUGUUAGUUGUUGUUCUUGAUUCUGCGUGGGAGAGAGGAGCAAUAUUGAUGAAGACUGUAAACAGCAAUAGGUGUCACCCAGUAAUGGCAACAUACAGCCCUGAAUGUACAGCUGCCAUUAGGCACCGAGUGCCUCUCUGCUGAACUCUCGCACCAAGGGCAGCUUGGCUUCCAACAAGCGCCCAGCACUCCCAAGAGGCAGCACCCCCUGAGAACCGGGCUGCAGUCCUGAUGACCGUGUGCUGUGAGAGCCGUCUGCACCAGUGAGACAAAUACUUUCCUUUCACUGCUUCACAGAACUACGUUUCUCUUAGUUACUUGCACCGAGUGUGUGGGGCUGCACUAAUGCAGGCCUGGCUGAGAAGGGGAAACAGGAAUAGGGAUGGAGACAGAGACAGGGCCAGGGCCAGCCCUGCCCAGCACGCAGAUCGAGGCAGGUCCUCACAGUGCAGUGGAGCUGACCGACACCCCGGUGCAGUGUGUGUGUACCGUGUGAUGUGGUUGAGCAGCACACAGUCAUGUUCAGCUGCCUGCCCUGUUAUUGUGAGCAGCCUUGUGCUAGUUUCAGGCGUAAUAACAUCGUGACAUAACAGCACACCAUGCUGUGAUGACACCAGCACACGGAGUAAGCCACGGUGAUCUGAUCUCAUUCUGUACAUGCUGAGAUGCACACUGAUGGCUCCCAGGAUAUGUGGGCGGCAGGUGGAUGGGGCUGGCACGUCCCAGCACCAGGUGGGAACAUGACUCCUGGCAAUGUCAGGGCUGGGAGCUCGGCUCUGCAGCUCCAGCUCUGCCUCAACUGCGGCCGAUGAGUCACUGCACCUCUCUGUGCUCACUUCUUCCAUCUGUGGAAAGGUGACAAUAACAUUUCCUCACCUUACAGGGGGUGGGAGGUGUGUGCAAGGAUGAAUGAAUGUUUACAAAGCACCUCUGAGCAGCACAGGCUGGUUGGACUGUGACUGGGAGGAACCAGCGCUCGCUCUCCACAUUGCUCCUUCCUCCAGGCGAGGUGUCCUCAAGUAAACACUUCCCUCAGAGUCAACAGUCUUCAAUGAGCACAAAUGAGAUAAUUCCUCAGGAGAGAAACAGUGAAGAGUCAGCGCGCUGCCAGUAAUUUCAAUAAAUUCUGUCACAGGAACAGCGGAGUAACCUUUACAAGAGAAAAAAAGAAUAAAGUAGAAAAACAAA